rnacentral:rRNA from 1 species
GAUGAACGCUGGCGGCGCGCCUAACACAUGCAAGUCGAACGGCACCCCUCUCCGGAGGGAAGCGAGUGGCGAACGGCUGAGUAACACGUGGAGAACCUGCCCCCUCCCCCGGGAUAGCCGCCUGAAAGGACGGGUAAUACCGGAUACCCCGGGGUGCCGCAUGGCACCCCGGCUAAAGCCCCGACGGGAGGGGAUGGCUCCGCGGCCCAUCAGGUAGACGGCGGGGUGACGGCCCACCGUGCCGACAACGGGUAGCCGGGUUGAGAGACCGACCGGCCAGAUUGGGACUGAGACACGGCCCAGACUCCUACGGGAGGCAGCAGUGGGGAAUCUUGCGCAAUGGGGGGAACCCUGACGCAGCGACGCCGCGUGCGGGACGGAGGCCUUCGGGUCGUAAACCGCUUUCAGCAGGGAAGAGUCAAGACU